rnacentral:rRNA from 1 species
GACGAACGCUGGAGGCGUGCUUAACACAUGCAAGUCGAACGAUGAAAUGGAGCUUGCUCCAUGGAUUAGUGGCGAACGGGUGAGUAACACGUGAAUAACCUGCCCUUAAUUUUGGAAUAACCCAGGGAAACCAGGGCUAAUACCGGAUAGGUCAACCUGUGGCAUCCCAUGGUUUUGGAAAGUUUUUCGAUUAAGGAUGGAUUCGCGGGCUAUGAGCUUGUUGGUGAGGUAAUGGCACACCAAGGCGACGACGGGUAGCCGGCCUGAGAGGGUGAACGGCCACACUGGGACUGAGACACGGACCAGACUCCUACGGGGGGCAGCAGUGGGGAAUAUUGCGCAAUGGACGAAAGUCUGACGCAGCGACGCCUCGUGAGGGACGAAGGUCUUCGGAUUGUAAACCUCUUUCAGCAGGGACGAAGCGAAAGUGACGGUACCUGCAGAAGAAGCACCGGCUAACUAUGUGCCAGCCGCCGCAGUAA